CGUAAUACUCAAUGUGAAUUUUAAAUAGGCAAUGAGAAGCCUGAGUGGACAGAAUAAAAUUAUCAUGUUAAUUUAUGCAUAGGACUAAUUUUAUUUUGGGUAUACAAGCGUGGGCAAAUGUAAGAGAAGGGACUUGCUAAGAGAAAUUCCGAGUAGAGGGCAGUGGCCGGACUCGAAGUGGUUUUUGAGACUAAGAAGCCAAGGGAGAUAGGGCAAUACAUAGCCAACCUGCGGCAGAGCUAAUGAGAGCUCAUUGAGUCUGAACUAAUGAGAGUUCACGAACCAGAAAUUCAGCAGUGUAUAAGCCAGGAGUCCUUCAAUUCCUGGCUUUUAAUCUUGGUUUUGGGAUUGCGUCCCCGUGACCAGAGGAGUGAGGCCGGACCGCAGCGGCGGGACCAGAGGACCGUGUGGACUCCGCUGGCCAAGUGGGAAAGCUACGGGCAUAGAGCAUUUGCUGGACACGAGACAACAAGAGACACUCGGACACUUCUUUUUCUAUGCUGUAACUAAUAUUUGUGAUUGUAUUUAAAUACUGGAAGUUGCCCCUUAAUCUGAAUUCAAUAAGGAAUAUAAAUCGUGUGUAUGAUAAGUCUGUAAAUAAAUAUAAAUAUUGUAAAGAGAAGAGUGAA